rnacentral:rRNA from 1 species
CCUACGGGCGGCAGCAGUGGGGAAUUUUGCGCAAUGCUCGUACGAGUGACGCAGCGACGCCGCGUGAGUGACGAAGGCCCUCGGGUCGUAAAGUUCUUUCGACAGGGAAGAAACUGCCUAUACGUAACUGUGUAUGUAUUGACGGUACCUGUAUAAGCAGCCCCGGCUAACUCCGUGCCAGCAGCCGCGGUAAUACGGUGGGGGCGUGCGGUGUUCGGAGUGACUGGGCGUAAAGGGCACGUAGGCGGUGUUGUAAGUCAUUAGUCAAAGACUAGAGCUCAACUUUAGUAAGGCUAGUGAUACUAUAAUACUAGAGUAUCAGAGAGGAAUGCAGAAUGCCUGGUGUAGCGGUGAAAUGCGUAGAUAUCAGGAGGAAUACCGUUAGCGAAGGCGGCAAUCUGGCUGGAAACUGACGCUGAGGUGCGAAAGCGUGGGUAGCAAACAGGAUUAGAUACCCGGGUAGUC